rnacentral:rRNA from 1 species
GAUGAACGCUGGCGGCGUGCCUAAUACAUGCAAGUCGAGCGAACGGACGAGAAGCUUGCUUCUCUGAUGUUAGCGGCUGACGGGUGAGUAACACGUGGAUAACCUACCUAUAAGACUGGGAUAACUUCGGGAAACCGGAGCUAAUACCGGAUAAUAUUUUGAACCGCAUGGUUCAAAAGUGAAAGACGGUCUUGCUGUCACUUAUAGAUGGAUCCGCGCUGCAUUAGCUAGUUGGUAAGGGAACGGCUUACCAAGGCAACGAUGCAUAGCCGACCUGAGAGGGUGAUCGGCCACACUGGAACUGAGACACGGUCCAGACUCCUACGGGAGGCAGCAGUAGGGAAUCUUCCGCAAUGGGCGAAAGCCUGACGGAGCAACGCCGCGUGAGUGAUGAAGGUCUUCGGAUCGUAAAACUCUGUUAUUAGGGAAGAACAUAUGUGUAAGUAACUGUGCACAUCUUGACGGUACCUAAUCAGAAAGCCACGGCUAACUACGUG